GUGCCAGCAGCCGCGGUAAUACAGAGGGUGCAAGCGUUAAUCGGAAUUACUGGGCGUAAAGCGCGCGUAGGUGGCUAAGUAAGAUGGGUGUGAAAUCCCCGGGCUCAACCUGGGAACUGCAUCCAUAACUGCUGAGCUAGAGUACGGUAGAGGGUAGUGGAAUUUCCUGUGUAGCGGUGAAAUGCGUAGAUAUAGGAAGGAACACCAGUGGCGAAGGCGACUACCUGGACUGAUACUGACACUGAGGUGCGAAAGCGUGGGGGAGCAAACAGGAUUAGAUACCCUGGUAGUCCACGCCGUAAACGAUGUCAACUAAGCCGUUGGAAUCCUUGAGAUUUUAGUGGCGCAGCUAACGCACUAAGUUGACCGCCUGGGGAGUACGGUCGCAAGAUUAAAACUCAAAUGAAUUGACGG
rnacentral:rRNA from 1 species